rnacentral:rRNA from 1 species
ACUCAAAGGAAUUGACGGGGGCCCGCACAAGCGGUGGAGUAUGUGGUUUAAUUCGAAGCAACGCGCAGAACCUUACCUGGGUUUGACAUCCACUGAUCGCGGCAGAGAUGUCGUUUUCCCUUCGGGGACAGUGAGACAGGUGCUGCAUGGCUGUCGUCAGCUCGUGUCGUAAGAUGUUGGGUUAAGUCCCGCAACGAGCGCAACCCUUGCUCUUAGUUGCCACCAUUAAGUUGGGCACUCUGAGAGGACUGCCGGUGUUAAACCGGAGGAAGGCGGGGAUGACGUCAAGUCCUCAUGGCCCCUACAUCCAGGGCUACACACGUACUACAAUGGCAGAGACAAAGCGUCGCGAAACCGCGAGGUGGAGCUAAUCGCAAAAACACUGUCUCAGUCCGGAUUGAAGUCUGCAACUCGACUUCAUGAAGCUGGAAUCGCUAGUAAUCGAAGAUCAGCACGCUUCGGUGAAUACGUUCCCGGGCCUUGUACACACCGCCCGU